AAAGCAGCACCACUCUGAUGGUACGCUACUGUUGGAGAAGGUCCUGGUUGCAGAGAUAGAAUCAGGUAAAUGAAGAUGAAGGGCUGGAUCCACAGCUGACUUGAAGGUGUUUGCAAACCUCAAUCUUCAGAUUACACCAGAAUACUAGAGAGAGAGAGAGAGAGAGAGUGUGUGUGUGUGUGUCCCACAGUGUUGCAAUGGAGGUGCUGCAUGUGGUAAUCAGCAUAAUGGUUUAUCGGGCCCCUGAGGAGAGUACUAGUGACUGAGCAAAUCUGCUUCAAUCAGGAGAAGACCAGAGGCAAGGAAAGGAAGAACCUGCUCAUGAGCCCUUUGCUCUGCAUCCCCAACAACAGGUGAUAAACCCUUUAAGGAUCGCAACCCACAGACUGAGAA